CAGGGGUCAUUUUUUAACCUUGUGAUGUGUAAGGUGACGUCCAUUUAGAAAUUAUACACGCACGCACACACACAGACAUAUACGCGCGCGCGCACACACAGACGCGCGCACGUACGCAGUCUCACAUAAACAUACAAAAGUCACAGACACACACACACACACACGCACGCACCCACGCACGCACAGCCCAUCCUUCCUCCAAGGCUCGCGAAUCAUCUCUCCACAAAUCCUGCCUUCGGGGCCGCAGCCUGCAGGCCGACCUCAGUCCGUCCUCACAGAGCCUAGUUGGGUGCACAGCUCUCCCUGACGCGCGAGGAGCAGGUUCACGGGAGUCGGUCGCGCAUCCCCAGCGCCCUGCGGGCCUCGCACCGGCUGUGGCGGUGACCCCGGUGAGGAGGGCUUUGGUGCGGGUCACCGUUGCUGAGGACACCCUCCUCCCCCGGAAGCGCGGUCCUGGGGGUCUGGGGGGCGGGUCCCUGACCGCUGUAAACAAUAGGUCGGUGGUGUCCACGCAGCAGGCAGCAAAUUCUCAGGAAGUGAGCGUCCCGUCUUUGGCUUCACCUUCGUGUCUGUAGAAUGGGGGUGAGGGGACUCAGGACUCGGAGCGCUGUCGGGCGGGGCGAGGUGGGCUGAGAGUGUGUCUCCCUCCCCAAGCUCACCCGGAGCUGUGCGGGGCGGGACCGCCCCAGGACCCUCGGUUCCCAGGAGCUCCUGGGGGCCCCGCCGCCCCCACCCCAGGCCGCGCUGCGCAGCCCCAGUCCCCGCCGGCCCCACCGCGCGGUCGCUUUGAGGUCGGCCGGGGUCUGCCCGGCGAUGGCGACGCUGCAGCCGCUGGAGCCGGGGCCACCGGGGAUCUCGGCGGGACCUGGCGGCAGCGAGGACGCGGACCCUGGAGAGAUGGGAGGGGCGCGCCCCGAGCCCGAGCCCCACCCGGACCCGGCUGCCGUCGGCCUAGCCAGGGCCGGGGCGGACACCGUCGAGGACGAAGCCGGGCCCGCGCCCCUGGGCGACCCGUUGAGCCGCGGAGCCCCGCGGGGUGGAGCCGGGCCAGGCCCAUCCGCUCCGGGCGCGGGCAGCUGGCGUCGCGGGUGGGUCAGAACCCAGGACACGCCCAGGAGUCCGACCUCAUGGCGCUGCAGGGCCUGGGGAGUGGGGGCUGGGGACAGCGCCAGGGCCAACCCGACGCCAGCACCCCCGGCAGACCCCAGGAGCCGCCUGUGAAGAGACUGGAUAGGUGCAUUAAGCGAUCAGAAAAGUCACUGGCUGGCCCUGUUGAUGAGCAGAACGCUUUCAGAGAAGUGUAUGCUCACGCAGUGCUUGGACAGCAUUCGCGUAGUUUGACACUUGUCUGCUUGGGCGGAUAGAUGCUCACACACAUAAGUUUGUUUUGUAGUUAUGCAGGAUUGCACUGUGGCUAAGUACACAGACUCUGGGUGCACAUCCCAGCUGCUCUGCUAUUUCCAGCUGUGUGACCAUGGGGAAGUUACUUGCCUGUGCUCAGUGUCCUCUGUAAAGUGAAGAUAGCAGUACCUGCCUCAUGGAGUCCCUUAAGUGAGUUAAUAGUGUAACAUGUUAUGGCGUCAUGCACACAGUCACCAUCGGUAAAUAUAGUCUAUUAUGCCUGAACCCCAGAGGAGCACAUGUCCUUGAAAAGUCUAAAAUUCAGGACUCUAAAAUCCAGACUGUGAGACCCUGGAAUCCUCCAGCAGCAUUCUAACGUCUCUUGGCAAUUGUAUGCUGCUUCCCAGGGCUGGAAGGUGUAUUUGUAUUAAUACAGUGAAAUAAUACGGCCACUUGACCACCUAGUUCAUCCCUAUAGUAGGCAAAUAAGGUGAUGUCAAAUCCUUGGCUGGGGCCCAGUCCUGGUAAUCUUCCCUUCUCUCUUUCCUGCAUACUCUCUCAUUCAGAUUCAUACAUGCCCUGCAGGACUGCUUAGCCUGCAGAGAAGGCAGGAUGGUGAGGAGAGAAGGUGAGUGGGUGGGUGGGUGCAAUUGUUCACUGAAGUGUGCUGCCUCUUGCCAUCUGAACUUGUGGGCCCAGGCACUGGGUCUGGACCUGAGGGGGUCUUGUUCUCCCUUUAACUUUAAGCCUCAAUUGGCAGCAAUCGCAGAGCUUCGUCCCUCCCUGUGAGCCUGUCUGGGUGUUUAUGCUGGAUGACAUGCACCCCCUCUGCCAGGAGUGCAUAGUCUAUGGCCUGGCCAGGCAGCCAUUGCAGAUGAGAAGAGUUUCAACGUCGACUUUAUUGUGCUGCUGGGUUUUUUCUGCUGGCUCUUAGCACGUUUCUCAUGAGCCAUGAUUAGCCUCAGGUCUAUGGCACCUUCCGCAGCUAUGUCAUGGUGACUGGGGACAUCAUCUGAAGCAUGUGCCACUGCUACCCCAAGGCAGGUGUUGGUGAGGCUGUGUGGGGAUAGGAGGGUUGGAGACCAUGUCUCUAUCUCAUGCAUCAACUCUUCAUCCUUCAAUCAUCUCCUCAUUCUUAUUUUGACUCUGUGUUUACUUCUUUCUGCCCUCCUGAGCAUUCAUCCAUCUAUGCAUCAUUUCAUCCACCCUUUCAACCACCCAUCCAUUCAUCUAUUCGUCCAUCACUUAGCAGAAGGAUUGAUCAGAAGCCCCCAGGAUCUGGAGCCAUGAAACAGACACCAUGGAGGAGACACAGUGAAACACAACAUAUUACUUAUGUGCUUAAACUAAAAGUCAGUGAGUGGUUUCCACCUGCCAGGCACUCCUGCAUUUAGAGUGCAGUUCUGCCCUUAUCCUGAUCUUUUUGGAGCCUUCUGUAGUUCCAUUUUAUAUCAGAAAAAGCUGAGGCUCAGCAAAUGAGGUUCUAUAACUGACUGGCCGAGUUUGGAUUGGAGCUCAGAUGUGUGAAUGUAGGCAUCAUUCUUUUUCUUGAGUUUUCCACCCCAGGGCCCCAGAGCGGCUUAGCUUUCUGGGGUGGGUCAGGUCUAAUCUUGGUGGAAUGCAUUGAGCAAUUCUCUAUCUUUUGGAGUCUUAAUGUAUUCUUAGCCCUAGGAGUGGUUUAGUGAUGGGAAAGCACUGGUUUGAGAGUCCUGUGUUCUAAUGCCAGUUGUGACCCAAACUUUGUGUGUGAUGUUUGUCUUUCCGAGCCUCAGCUUUUUCAUCUGCAAAAUGGGACUUUAGCCUCUAUUUUGCACAGCCAAACAGCAUAUAAAGAUCAGAGAAGAGAUGGGAUAUACAAAUAUUUUGUCAACUCUAGAAUGUUGUUUGUAGUUGAAAGGCUGCCGGGUACUGAUAACCUUGAGAAAAGAACAUGUCAGCUCCCAAGUCAAGUCUCUUACUCUUUCAUUUUUAUUUUUAACUUUAGACACAAAAAUGUUUCUUUUUUCUUGAACUACACACUUAAGAAGCUCCUAUUGAUAACCAAAUUAAUGUUUUUCUUUUGAAAAUAAUUUACCCUUUUUUGUUGAAGGUAUUGUAAGAAUCCAUUUCCAGCUUUAAGGACAAUUUCUCUCAGUUCCAUUUAUAUUUAUUUCUCUGGUUUUAGCUCUAUACAUUUGUGGAAAUUUUACUUCCAUUUUUGUGAAUAAUCUUUUGUUUGUUUGUUUGUUUGUUUGAGAGGGAGUCUUGCUCUGUUGCCCAGACUGGAGUGCAAUGGUGUGAUCUUGGCUCACUGCAGCUUCUGCCUCCCAGGUUCAAGUGAUUCUCCUGCCUCAGCCUCUCAAGUAGCUGGGAUUACAGGCACACACCACCACGCCCGCCUAAUUUUUGUAUGUUUAGUGGAGAUUGGGUUUCACCAUUUUGGUCAGAUUGGUUUCGAACUCAUGACCUCAGGUGAUCUGCCUGCCUUGGCCUUCCGAAGUGCUGGAAUUACAGGUGUGAGCCACUGUGCCCGGCCUAAUAAUUAUAUUUCAAUUAAAAUCUAAUUUUUAAAGGUACCAGUUUUUAAUUCAAUAAAUAUUUAACAUAUUCACUUUAAACUCUUAGGUGUUAAGUCUAAAAAUGUUUAAUGGCUUAAAAUAUUGUCUUACAUAUUGUAUGAAUGAAAUACUAAUGACUGUGAUGGUCAGAUUAUCUUUUGUUCAUAGCUUUCUUUAAAUACAAUAUAAUUAUUUUUUAUUUGUUCUUAUUAAAAUUCAUUUUGUCUUACUUAAAUGUUGAUAAAUAUAGAAGGGAGGCUUCGUUUGCCAGCUUUAUACAUUCGAAAGUCAAAUUGCAAUGUUAUUAACUUCUAACUACUCAGUUAACUACUCAGUAACUAAUUUGUCUCCCACAGUAAACAUAAGUAUUAACUAACACAAUUAUAGUCAUAUUCUCCAUCUUAAUAAUGGAGUAAAAUUUGUGUUAUUUAUUGAUUAAGUUACAGCCCAGGCUGGAGUGCAGUGGCAUGAUCUUGGCUCACUGCAACCUCCUCCUCCCUGGUUCAAGCAAUUCUCCUGCCUCAGCCUCCUGAGUAGCUGGGAUUACAGGCACCCGCCACCACGCCCAACUAACUUUUGUAUUUUUAGUAGAGACGGGGUUUCACCAUAUUGGCCAGGAUGGUACUGAUCUCCUGAUAUGGUGAUCCUCCAGCCUCAGCCUCCCAAAGUGCUAGGAUUAUAGGCGUGAGCCACUGCGCCCAGCCUAUUUUAUAUUUUUAUUUCAUAUUAUUUCAUGUCAAGUAUCUAGGAUAUAAACUUUUGUAAACUAGUAUAAAAUUAAAAAAUGUCUUUUGCUUGAGCUCAGGAGUUCAAGACCCGCCUGGGCUACAUGGCAAGACCCCAUCUCUACCAAAACUACAAAAGUCAGUCAUAUGUGGUGGUGCAUGCCUGUGGUCCCUGCUACUCAGGAGGCUGAGGCAGGAGGAUCCCUUGAACCCAUGAGGCAGAGGUUGGAGUGAGCCAAGAUCAUCACACUGCACUGCAGACUGGUUGACAGAGCAAGACGGUGUCUCAAAAAAUAAAAAAAUAAAUGUCCAGAUGGGCAUGGUGGUUCACGCCUGUAAUCCCAGCACUUUGGGAGGCCAAAGCGGGCACAUCACCUGAGGUCAGGAGCUUGAGACCAGCCUGGCCAACAUGGCGAUACCCCGUCUCUACUAAAAAUACAAAAAUUAGCUGGGUGUGGUGGUGGGCACUUGUAAUCCCAGCUACUUGGGAGGCUGAGGCAGGAGAAUCACUUGAACCUAUGAGGCAGAGGUUGCAGUGAGCCGAAAUCGCGCCAAUGCACUCCAGUCUGGGCGAUAAGAGCAAGACACUGUCUAAAAAAAAAACAAAAAAAACUCUUGAUAGGCAAAGAUUAUGAUAGUAAUGCUAUAGUUAUAAUGUUAUGGUAAUCAAAGAAUAUAGUACUACCAUAGGAAUUGAUUUGUGUAGAUUAAAAGAAUAAAGUUGAAGGUAUUAAUUUGAGGUAAAAAUAAUUCUGUCAAAGAUGCCAAGAAAUUCCAAUGGAGGAAGUUUGUUCAACAAAUAAUGCUGAGAAAUCAGUUUUCAUUGUGCAAAAAUGAAGAAUAUACAUCCAUAUAUAUUAAAUGAGAGUAAGUGAAUACCCAUAUAACAAUAGAAAGUAUUAAUUAAAUUAUUUUUACAUAUAAAAGCUCAGUGUCAAAUUGCAUUAAUUCUGAAUUUCACUGACAUUUAAUAAAAAUGUAAUAUAAUUUUUUCACAUAAACUUUCAUCAAUGGCAGAGGUAACAUUUUUCUAUUAAUUUACUAGCUAGGGGUACUGUGAUACCAAAGCCAGACAAAAGAAUCACAAGUAAAGAAGACUAUGGACUAAAAUUCCAUAUAAAUAUAGAAUUCCUGAUGAAGUUAUUAGAAAUGUUAGCACACGGCUGGGCAUGGUGGCUCAUGACUGUAAUCCAGCACUUUGGGAGGCUGAGGCAGGCGGAUCAUGAGGUCAAGAGAUCAAGGCCAUCCUGGCCAACAUGGUGGAACCUUGUCUCUACUAAAAAUACAAAAAUUAGCUGGGCGUGGUGGCGCGCACCUGUAGUCCCAGCUACUUGGAAGGCUGAGGCAGGAGAAUCGCAUGAACCCAGGAGGCAGAAGUUGCAGUGAGCCGAGAUUGUGCCACUGCACUCCAGUCUGGGUGACAGAGCAAGACUCCAUCUCAAAAAAAAAAAAAAAAGAAAUGUUGGCACACUAAAUCCAGCAACAUGUAAAACUGAUUACAUACCAUAACCAAGCAAUAGUUUGUCACAAAUGGAGUGUUGGCUUAAUAUUUUUAAAAUCAACCAAAAUAUUACAAAAUGUUACUUGAACAAUAGAAAAAAGUGUCAAUGUAAAUAAGCAAAAAAAGUAUAAAAAAUCCAGCACCCGUUCAUGAUAAAACACUCAGAAAUCUAGUAGAAAGGAACUUGUAAGACCUGCUAAAAAGCAUCUAUAAGAAAUCAAUAGCUGGCUGGGCACGGUGGCUCACAUCUGUAAUCCCAGCACUUUGGGAGGCAGAGGUGGGCAGAUCAGGAGGUCAGGAGUUUGAGACCAGCCUGACCAACAUGGUGAAACCCCAUCUCUACUAAAAAUACAAAAAUUAGCCAGGCGUGGUGGUGUGUGCCUGUAAUCCCAGCUACUCAGGAGGCUGAGGCAGGAGAAUCGCUUGAACCCGGGAGGCAGAGGUUGCAGUGAGCCGAGAUUGAGCCACUGCACUCCAGCCUAGGCAACAGAGUAAGACUCUGUCUCAAAAAAAAAAAAAAAAAAAGAAAUCAAUAGCUAAUAGUAUACUUAACGGUAGAUGAUUGCAGGCUGUAUCUGUAAGUUUAAAAAUGGAACAAGAAUGUACACUUUUUCCACUCUGUUUUUACACUGUCCUGGAAGUAUUAGCCAGAAAAGUAUACUAGAAAAAUAAAUAAAAUCUUCAGAUUAGAAAAGAAGUAGGAUACUAUUAUCUUGCCAUAAUAUUGGGUUAAAAACUAUGAUAAAUUUACCAAAAACAUACUUCAGUUAAUAAAAAAUUUUAUUAAUGUCACAAAAUACAAGAUUAAUAGACAAGGUUAAAUCUUUUAUAUAACAGCAAUCAACAUACUGAAAAUUAAGAACAAAAUGUAAUAAUAAUAUCAUAAAAACCAUUUAGGUAUGUGGGCAGCAAGCCACCCAGGUGCCGAGGCAAGAAACUGAGGGCACGAGCUGUUCCAGUGUAAUAAAAUAUAUAAAACAACAAGAGUUAUACUAGAUAUAGAUCAUAGAUAUGAUUAUAUAUGAAUAUCAAUCAUUAGUUUGUAGCAAUUACUCUUUAUUCCAACAUUAUAAUAAUCCUUGCUCUAUAAUUAUAACCUAGGAAAAACCAGGCCAUACAGAGAUAGGAGCUGAAGGGGGCACGGUGAGAAGUGACCAGAAAACAAGAGUGCGAGCCUUCUGUCAUGCCCAGACAGGGCCACUAGAGGGCUUCUUGGUCUAGCGGUAACGCCAGCGUCUGGGAAGAUGCCCAUUACCAAGCAGACCAUGGUCUAGCUGUAGCAUCAGUGCCAAGGAAAAGCACCCGCUACUUAGCAGACCGGGAAAGGGACUCUCCCUUUUCCCAGGGGAGUUUAGAGAAGACUCUGUUCCACCACCUCUUGUGGAGGGCCUGACAUCAGUUAGGCCUGCUCGCAGUUAUCUGGAGGCCUAACCGUCUCCCUGUGAUGCUGUGCUUCAGCGGUCACGCUCCUGUUUCACUUUCAUGUUCCACUCUGUACACCUGGCUCUGCCCUCUAGACAGCAGUAGCAAAAUUAGUGAAAGUAUUAAAGUCUUUGAUCUUUCUGAAAAGAGCGUAAAAGAAAUAAUGACGUAAGCUGUCCUCUCUCUCUCCGCUUCGGCUACCUAACAGGGAAGGGCCCCCUGUCCAGUGGACACGUGACCCACGUGACCUUACCAAUCACCGGAGAUGACUCGCACUCUUUACCUUGCCCCUUUUGCUUUGUAUCCAAUAAAUAACAGGGCAGCCAGGCAUUCGGGGCCACUACCGGUCUCUGCGUCUUGGUGGUAGUGGUCCCCCGGGCCCAGCUGUCUUUUCUUUCAUCUCUUUGUCUCGUAUCUUUAUUUCUACGAUCUCUCAUCUCCGCACACGGAGAGAAAAACCCACAGACUCUGUGGGGCUGGUCCCUACAUAGGUAUAUAUAUAUAUAUAUAUGUAUGUAUGUAUGUAUGUAUGUAUGUAUGUAUGUAUGUAUUCGAGACAGAGUUUCACUCUUGUUGCCCAGGCUGGAGUGCGAUUCAUGAUCUUGGCUCACUGCAACCUCCACCUCCCAGGUUCAAGCGAUUCUCCUGCGUCAGCCUCUCAAGUAGCUGGGAUUACAGGCAUGCACCACCAUGCCUGGCUAAUUUUUUGUAUUUUUAUUAUAGACGGGGUUUCACCAUGUUGGCCAGGCUGGUCUCAAACUCCUGACCUCAAGUGAUCUGCCUGCCUCAGCCUCCCAAAGUGCUGGGAUUACAGGCAUGAGCCACUGUGCCCAGCCUGUUAUUUCUGUCUCUUCUGGCUUGUAGGGUUUCCAGUGAGAAGUCUUGCGGGGGUCCGACCCGCUGACCCUGACUCAAUGACGGAUGAACAAUGUAUACUGAUGCAGAUAUUCUGCUUUGCCAGUGCAACUGAGGGUCCAGGCUGCCUCACAGACUAACAGAGGUGCUGUAGGGAGUAGCAGCCGCCACACCAACCAGCCAGCGAAACUUGCAUUUAUUUGGUAAAGAUUAAGUAACAAAACUUUGAGUAAACACCACUAGAAGGUAAUUGACAUUGCCGACUUCGCGAGUAGAAAGCAAUUAAGCACCCAAGAUCAAAGGUUAGUCUGAGGACCACAUGAGUAAACAAGGUAGUUAGAUAAACUACUCUACAUCCGUUUGUAUUUGUGCCCUAAGUUAAUAACUUAAGGUAAAGUGACCAGGCCGCCUUCAGCCAGAUCUAUUACCGAAGUUUUGCAAAACCCUCAGGCCUUCCAAGAGGGUUUAUGGCUAUUAUAACUAAAACUUUUUUCACCAGUCUGUCUGAACCCCCACAAGGUCUGCUGUUAGUCUGAUGAGCUUUUCUUUGUAGGUGGCCUUGCCUUACUCUCUAUCUGCCCUUAAGAUAUUUUUAUUUCAUUUUGACCUUGGAGAAUCUGAUGAUUACCUGUCUUGGGAGUAAUCUUCUCAUGGAAUAUCUUAGUGGGGCUCUCUGCAUUUCCUGCAUUUGAAUGUUGGCCUGUCUAGCUAGGUUGAGGAAGUUCUCCUGGAUGAUAUCCUGAAAUAUGUUCUCCAAUUUGGUUCAGUUCUCCCCAUUUCUUUCAGCUACCCCCAUCAGUUGUAUAUUCACUCUCUACACAAUCCCAUAUUCUAAGGUUUCAUUCAUUCCUUUUUUUUUUUCUUUAUUUGUGUCUGCCUGUUUGAUUUCAGGAAGACAGUCUUCAAGCUCUGGGAUGUUUUUUCCUCCGCUUGGUCUAUUCUGCUAUUAAUACUUGUGAUUACAUCGUGGAGGCCUUGUAGUGUGUUUUUCAGCUCUAUCAAGUCGUUUGUGUUUCUCUUCUUACUGGCUAUUUUGGCUGCCAGCUCCUGCAUUGUUUUAUCGUGAUUCUUAGCUUCGUUGCAUUGAGUUACAGUGUGCCCUUUUAGCUCAGCCAAGUUCAUCUGUAUUCAUAUUCUGAAGCCUACUUCUCUCAUUUCAGCCAUCUCAGCCUCAGCCUGGUUCUGAUCCUUUGCUGGACAGGUGUUGCUGUCAGUUGGAGAAAAGGGCACACUCUGACUUUUGAGUUUUCAUCAUUUUUGUGCCACUUCUCAUCUUUGUGGGCUUAUCUAUUUCAAUGUGUGAGAUUGCUGACCUUUGGAUAGGGUUAUUGUGGUUAUUUUUUGUUAUUUAUUGUUUUUCUUUUAACAGUCUGACCACUGUGUGUAGGGCUGCUGUGGUUUUCUGGAGGUCUGCUCCAGACCCUGGUGCCCUUGGCUUUUUCAGUAUCUGGAAGUAUCACCAGUUAAGGCUGUGAAACAGCAAAGAUGGCAGCCUGCCCCUUUGUCAGGUCAGAAUGCAUACUGACCUGUUGCCUGCCUGAACACACCUGUAGAAGGUGGCUGAAGGCUUUGGAUUGGAGGUCUCACCCAACCAGGAGGAAUGGGGUCAGCAGCCUACUUAAAGAAGCAGUCUGGCUGUGUUUUGGUAGAGCAUCUGUGCUGUGUUGUGGAUUCCUUCAGCUCUCAAAUGGUUUGGGCUAUCCAAAGCCCACAGUCUGCACUAACUUACCUGCCCAAACAGCAAAAAUGGUGGCCCACCGCACCCCCUGGGCACUCCAUCCCACGGAGAAAUUAGAACUCUAUUGGCCUUAGAACUUGGGCAGAAGUAGAUGGAGGCCCUGGCUGGGAGGACCCGCCCAGCAAGGGGGAAUGAAUUGGGGUCCCACUUAAAGAAGCAGUAGGACUAUGCUUCAACAAAACAGCCAUGGCAUGCUGGGGAACCACCUCUGCCCAAAUCUGCUUGGACUCUCCAAACCCUCAGGCUUAAAUGGCUUAGUCCCCCAAACAGCCAAGGUGGCAGGGCGCCCCUCCACCAUGGGCAUUCCAUCCCAGAGAGAAAUCAGAACUCUGUUCAUAGAAUAUGGGUGGGGCAGCUGGAGGCCCCUGCUGGGAGAACUCACACAGUGAGGGAAAUGGAUUGGGGUCCCAUUUAAAGAAGAAGUCUGGCAACAUUUUGGUAAAGCAGCUGUGCUGUGCUGUGGGGUCCCUGCCUCAUUCAGAUCAUUUGGACUCUCCAAAGCCCACAGGCUGCAAUGACUUUGUCAUCCGAACAGCAAAUAUGGCAGCCCAUCCCUCACCCAGAAGCUCUGACCCAUCUCAGGCAGGUGCUACACUGUUACCAGUAACUAGCUGGAAUUCCAAAUCUGUGGGUCUUAUCUUGUGAAGUGCCAUGGAAGUGGGAUCCACAAACUGAUGCUGCUCAGCCUCCUGGAUUCAGCCCCCUUCCUAGGGGUAUGCACCAAUCUCCCACCUUGCCUGAGUUGCAGUCAUCUUUGUUGGAUGUCCCAGGGCUGAGGUAUGUAAAGCUCCUGGGACUCUGUUUGUGUCUGAGCAGCUGUUCUACCAAGACUCCACACAGCUCUGUGUGUCAGACCCAAGACCCUGGUGGAGUGGGUUCACAACUGAAUCGCCUGAUGCAAGGGUUGCAAAGAUCUUUGAGAGAAGUGUGGUUUCCUGGGGUUGCACAUUCACUCACCAUUUUUCUUGGCUGGGGUGGGGGUUCCUUUGGCUCUGUAUCAAUCCUGGGUGGGACCUCAAAAUCAAUUCUUAUGGUAAUGCCAUAUUGUUUGGUUAGUAUAACAUUUUAGUAAGAAUAUCAGAAAUAAAUUUCAUUUUUGUUUUCAAAAUUCUCAUGUGUUUGAUUUUUUUGCAUGUCUGUAUAGAAUUUAGAAAGAGCAGCUUGUCAAUUUCUAUGAAAAUAGCCAGGUGCAGUGGCUCACACCAGUAAUCCCAACACUUUGGGAGGCCGAGGCGGGUGGAUCACCUGAGGUCGGGAGUUCGAGACCAGCCUGACCAACAUGGAGAAACCCCAUCUCUACUAAAAAUACAAAAUUAGCCAGGCAUGGUUAAUUACAGGCAUGCAUGUAAUCCCAGCUACUUGGGAGGCUGAGGCAGGAGAAUUGCUUGAACCCGGGAGGCAGAGGUUGCGGUGAGCCGAGAUUGCACCAUUGCACUACAGCCUGGGCAACAGGAGCGAAACUGCAUCUCAAAAAAAAAAAAAAAAGAAAGAAAGAAAAUAAUUUACUUUGAAAUUUGCAUUGAA
rnacentral:lncRNA from 1 species